GAUGAACGCUGGCGGCGUGCCUAAUACAUGCAAGUCGAGCGAACAGAUAAGGAGCUUGCUCCUUUGACGUUAGCGGCGGACGGGUGAGUAACACGUGGGUAACCUACCUAUAAGACUGGGAUAACUUCGGGAAACCGGAGCUAAUACCGGAUAACAUUUGGAACCGCAUGGUUCUAAAGUGAAAGAUGGUUUUGCUAUCACUUAUAGAUGGACCCGCGCCGUAUUAGCUAGUUGGUAAGGUAACGGCUUACCAAGGCGACGAUACGUAGCCGACCUGAGAGGGUGAUCGGCCACACUGGAACUGAGACACGGUCCAGACUCCUACGGGAGGCAGCAGUAGGGAAUCUUCCGCAAUGGGCGAAAGCCUGACGGAGCAACGCCGCGUGAGUGAUGAAGGGUUUCGGAUCGUAAAACUCUGUUAUUAGGGAAGAACAAAUGUGUAAGUAACUGUGCACGUCUUGACGGUACCUAAUCAGAAAGCAACGGCUAACUACGUG
rnacentral:rRNA from 1 species